rnacentral:rRNA from 1 species
AUUGCACAAUGGGCGGAAGCCUGAUGCAGCAACGCCGCGUGCGGGAUGACGGCCUUCGGGUUGUAAACCGCUUUCGCCUGUGACGAAGCGUGAGUGACGGUAAUGGGUAAAGAAGCACCGGCUAACUACGU